rfam:Clostridium difficile 630 complete genome
AAUAAUUAUGGGAAUGAGGUUCUCCCUUGGAUGAUAAUAUCCUAAACUGCCAAUGAGCUGAUGACUUCUAUGAUAUC